CACGUUCUUAAUAAGAAAAUGAUAAGUAUUAAGCUUACACAAUAACGACAUUUGCCACUUUAUCCAGGAUUAUGCCAUGCUCGGGAGCCAGAGAAAAGUGGUGAUGGCGGAGCCGAAUGGGUGGUUGGUGUUGUUAUUGGAAGUAUGGUGUUCAUCGUCAUCAUCAUUAUCGUAAUCGUCUGUUGUGUUUGUAAGAAAUCCGUUGGUAAAGGUGUAAUGAUCCGACCCGUGGAGAACUGUGAUCGUGACGUCCAUGGCCUCAACAAGAACGUGUAUCACGUGGGACACUUUCAUCCCCAACAUCAACACCACAAACACGGCCAUGGCAGUGGUAUACAUUAUGACGUAAACGGUCAUCCGAUCGGUCUGUAUAAUGAACAUGCUAAUGAAAACAACACGGAGCUUCGAACACAGACCAAUGCUAUUGGACAAAACGUCGAGAUUCCUUCUAUUUCCGUGUCAUAUCAUUCCCCAGAAGUAACUAUGGAUACAACCUCAUUGACCACGGAAACUCGGGCAGAGCAAAGCAACCCGCUGCCUGCGUCAGACAUCGCUACUGAAACCGUGCCAACAAAAAACACGUGACAUGAGAGUAAAUAAUAUGUCUCUGAUAAUUCAUAACUUCAUAUCAUAUUUUGAGUUGACGAAGUUGCGCGUCAAUACAAUUAUUUAUAUUUAUAUUUCAUUCAUCAUGCAUUGUAUACUAAUCGUAUAUUACGACUAUGUUAAUUAUUUGGUGUAGAUUUCCUCAUGACAUUGUGUCGUCGUUUGGCUCGGUGAAAAAAUUGUACGUUUGAUACAAUGUAAUUCCAGAUGGUUUUUUUUCUUGUAAAAAUUAUACGUUUGAUACAAUGUAAUUCUAGAUACAUAUAUAAAAGUUGUACGUUUGAUACAAUGUAAUUCUAGAUACUUGUAUAAAGGUUGUACGUUUGAUACAAUGUAAUUCUAGAUACAUACAAUAUAAAAGUUGUACGUUUGAUACAAUGUAAUUCUAGAUACUUGUAUAAAGGUUGUACGUUUGAUACAAUGUAAUUCUAGAUGUUUGUGUAAAUGUUGUGCGUUUGCUAUAAUGUAACUCAAUAUAUUUGUGUGAAAUCAUACGGGUAUACGAAUAAACUAUGGAACUGUUGACAUUCUAGGAACAGGAAAUAGUUUGAUGUUCCUCGGUGUUCACGUUAAGAGGUGUAUAAUAUAACCAAUAAUAGCGAGAUUGUGUCAUUUUACAUGACGUAUAGGCCUAUGUAUGUAGACAUGGAUUGUUUUUUAUAUUGUUGUAUGGAAUUAGACUAUUAUACAGUUACAACUUGAUAUUGAGUUUUUACACCUUGAUGAUGAGUUUUAUAUUGCAUUAAAACACCUUGAUAUAGAAUUAUAACACAUUUAUAUUGAGUUAGAUUCGGUGAAUACGUCCCUUGUUUGACAUCAAUUUUCCAUUAUUUGUAUGCCAUUCUGUAUUUUUCCGUACCGAUUCCUAUAAAACACUAUCUUCUGAUACAAUACGAUAUCAAUGCCCAUUAUCUAUUUCAGUGUGAACAGUUUUAUUUGAAAACUAUUCGGUAUGUUGUGGUUUUAUCAGAUUCUGGUUUUAUUUAUGACUGUUAAACAUUUUUUUCCGUGAUAUACUUUCAUACACUUACGUACAAUACUAAUAUGAGUAAAUAGAUAAACUUUUUCAUUUAUACCGAAAUGAACACGUUAAUUCAUAUUUAACUGAUUAAAAUUCAUGUGAUAACUUG